rnacentral:rRNA from 1 species
AUAAUUCGAUGCAACGCGAAGAACCUUACCUACCUUGACAUGUCCGGAACUUGCCAGAGAUGGCUUGGUGCCCGAAAGGGAAUCGGAACACAGGUGCUGCAUGGCUGUCGUCAGCUCGUGUCGUGAGAUGUUGGGUUAAGUCCCGCAACGAGCGCAACCCUUAUCAUUAGUUGCUACGCAAGGGCACUCUAAUGAGACUGCCGGUGACAACCGGAGGAAGGUGGGGAUGACGUCAAGUCCUCAUGGCCCUUAUGGGUAGGGCUUCACACGUCAUACAAUGGUCGGUACAGAGGGUUGCCAAGCCGCGAGGCGGAGCCAAUCCCACAAAGCCGAUCGUAGUCCGGAUUGUUCUCUGCAACUCGAGAGCAUGAAGUCGGAAUCGCUAGUAAUCGCAGGUCAGCAUACUGCGGUGAAUACGUUCCCGGGUCUU